rnacentral:rRNA from 1 species
UACGUAGGGUGCAAGCGUUGUCCGGAAUUAUUGGGCGUAAAGAGCUCGUAGGCGGUGUGUCGCGUCGGCCGUGAAAACCUGCAGCUUAACUGUGGGCUUGCGGUCGAUACGGGCAUCACUGGAGUUCGGCAGGGGAGAGUGGAAUUCCUGGUGUAGCGGUGAAAUGCGCAGAUAUCAGGAAGAACACCCGUGGCUAAGGCGGCUCUCUAGUACGGUACUGACGCUGAGACGCGAAAGCGUGGGGAGCGAACAGG